rnacentral:rRNA from 1 species
GUGUCAGCAGCCGCGGUAAUACGAAGGGGGCGAGCGUUGUUCGGAUUUACUGGGCGUAAAGGGCGCGCAGGCGGCCGGCCAAGUCAGGCGUGAAAGCCCCGGGCUUAACCUGGGAAUUGCGUCUGGGACUGGUUGGCUAGAGAUCGGGAGAGGAGAGUGGAAUUCCCAGUGUAGAGGUGAAAUUCGUAGAUAUUGGGAAGAACACCGGUGGCGAAGGCGGCUCUCUGGACCGAUACUGACGCUGAGGCGCGAAAGCGUGGGGAGCAAACAGGAUUAGAUACCCCGGUAGUCC